GAUAACGGCGUCGAGCGGCGGACGGGUGAGUAAUGCCUAGGAAAUUGCCCUGAUGUGGGGGAUAACCAUUGGAAACGAUGGCUAAUACCGCAUGAUGCCUACGGGCCAAAGAGGGGGACCUUCGGGCCUCUCGCGUCAGGAUAUGCCUAGGUGGGAUUAGCUAGUUGGUGAGGUAAGGGCUCACCAAGGCGACGAUCCCUAGCUGGUCUGAGAGGAUGAUCAGCCACACUGGAACUGAGACACGGUCCAGACUCCUACGGGAGGCAGCAGUGGGGAAUAUUGCACAAUGGGCGCAAGCCUGAUGCAGCCAUGCCGCGUGUGUGAAGAAGGCCUUCGGGUUGUAAAGCACUUUCAGUCGUGAGGAAGGUAGUGUAGUUAAUAGCUGCAUUAUUUGACGUUAGCGACAGAAGAAGCACCGGCUAACUCCGUGCCAGCAGCCGCGGUAAUACGGAGGGUGCGAGCGUUAAUCGGAAUUACUGGGCGUAAAGCGCAUGCAGGUGGUUUGUUAAGUCAGAUGUGAAAGCCCGGGGCUCAACCUCGGAAUAGCAUUUGAAACUGGCAGACUAGAGUACUGUAGAGGGGGGUAGAAUUUCAGGUGUAGCGGUGAAAUGCGUAGAGAUCUGAAGGAAUACCGGUGGCGAAGGCGGCCCCCUGGACAGAUACUGACACUCAGAUGCGAAAGCGUGGGGAGCAAACAGGAUUAGAUACCCUGGUAGUCCACGCCGUAAACGAUGUCUACUUGGAGGUUGUGGCCUUGAGCCGUGGCUUUCGGAGCUAACGCGUUAAGUAGACCGCCUGGGGAGUACGGUCGCAAGAUUAAAACUCAAAUGAAUUGACGGGGGCCCGCACAAGCGGUGGAGCAUGUGGUUUAAUUCGAUGCAACGCGAAGAACCUUACCUACUCUUGACAUCCAGAGAACUUUCCAGAGAUGGAUUGGUGCCUUCGGGAACUCUGAGACAGGUGCUGCAUGGCUGUCGUCAGCUCGUGUUGUGAAAUGUUGGGUUAAGUCCCGCAACGAGCGCAACCCUUAUCCUUGUUUGCCAGCGAGUAAUGUCGGGAACUCCAGGGAGACUGCCGGUGAUAAACCGGAGGAAGGUGGGGACGACGUCAAGUCAUCAUGGCCCUUACGAGUAGGGCUACACACGUGCUACAAUGGCGCAUACAGAGGGCGGCCAACUUGCGAAAGUGAGCGAAUCCCAAAAAGUGCGUCGUAGUCCGGAUUGGAGUCUGCAACUCGACUCCAUGAAGUCGGAAUCGCUAGUAAUCGUGGAUCAGAAUGCCACGGUGAAUACGUUCCCGGGCCUUGUACACACCGCCCGUCACACCAUGGGAGUGG
rnacentral:rRNA from 1 species